rnacentral:rRNA from 1 species
GAUUAAAAUAAUUAAGGGCACACAAAGGAUGCCUUGGUAGUAAGAGCCGAUGAAGGACGUGGUAAGCUGCGAUAAGCCUAGAUAAGUUGCAAUCGAACGUAAGAGUCUAGGAUUUCCGAAUGGAGCAAUCUAUUAAGAUGGAGUCUUAAUACGAAAGAGGGAACCGCGUGAACUGAAACAUCUAAGUAACGCGAGGAAAAGAAAGUAAAAACGAUACCCGAAGUAGCGGCGAGCGAAACGGGUCAAGCCUAAACCUUAAAUAUGUCAAGGAUACAGCCGUUGUAUUUAGGGGGUUGAGGGACAGAGUGAUGAAGAACUGUAAGAUAUUCAAUAUAGUGUAUUGAUGAACUAGAAUAGUCUGGAAAGGUUAACCGUAGAAGGUGAAAGUCCUGUAUAGGUAAAUCCUUACACAUAUAACUUUGAUCCCAAGUAACAUGGAACACGAGGAAUUCUGUGUGAAUCAGUGAGGACCAUAUCUCAUAAGGCUAAAUACUCUUACUAACCGAUAGCGCAUAGUACCGUGAGGGAAAGGUGAAAAGAACCCCUGGAGGGGAGUGAAAUAGAACCUGAAAUUGUGUGCUUACAAGCGGUCAGAGCCAGUAAUGGUGAUGGCGUGCCUUUUGGAGAAUGAUCCUGCGAGUUACGUUAAACGGCGAGGUUAAGUAUUACGGAGCCGAAGGGAAACCAAGUCUUAAUAGGGCGAUUUAGUCGUUUGGCGUAGACGCGAAACCUGGUGAUCUAAACCUGUCCAGGAUGAAGCUGUGGUAAGACACAGUGGAGGUCCUAACCCACCGCCGUUGAAAAGUUGGGGGAUGAGGUAGGUUUAGGGGUGAAAAGCCAAUCGAACCAGGAGAUAGCUCGUUCUCUCCGAAAUGCAUCUAGGUGCAGCCUUGAGUGUUCAAUUAUGGGGGUAGAGCACUGAAUGAUCUAGGGGGCAUAUUGCUUACUGAAAUCAAUCAAACUCCGAAUACCAUAAUUUAUAGCUCAGGAGUGAGACUAUGGGAGUUAACUUCCAUUGUCAAAAGGGAAACAACCCAGACCACCAGCUAAGGUCCCUAAUUAUAACUAAGUGGGAAAGGAGGUGGAGAUUCACAAACAACUAGGAGGUUGGCUUAGAAGCAGCCAUACCUUUAAAGAGUGCGUAAUAGCUCACUAGUCGAGAGUCUCUGCGCCGACAAUGUAACGGGGCUAAGUUAUAAACCGAAGCUGUGGAAUCCGUAAGGAUUGGUAGGAGAGCGUUCUGUAGGCCGUUGAAGGAGAAGGGUAACCGACUUUGGAGGUAUCAGAAGUGAGAAUGCAGGAAUAAGUAGCGAGAAAGGGGGCGAGAAUCCCCCUCGCCGGAAGACCAAGGUUUUCAGGGUAAAGCUUGUCUUCCCUGAGUAAGCCGGGACCUAAGCCCAGGCUAUAAUGCGUAGGCGAAUGGAAAACAGAUUAAUAUUUCUGUGCCAGUCAUAUAUUGUGAUGGAGGGACGCAGAAGGGUAUGCGCGCGGACGAACGGAAGUGUCCGUAGAAGUAUGUAGGAUGACUUAGUAGGAAAAUCCAUUGAGUUAUAUCUGAGGUAUGAUAUAUAGUCGUAAGAUGAAUGCGCAAAUCCCACGCUGCCAAGAAAAGCUUCUAACGUUAAUUUAUGACUGCCCGUACUGCAAACCGACACAGGUGGUCAGGAUGAGAAAUCUAAGGCGGACAGGCUAACUCUCGUUAAGGAACUCUGCAAAAUAACCUCGUAACUUCGGGAGAAGAGGAGCCCUUGGGUGUUAGUAUCCAUGCGAUACAAAGCGCUCGAGGGUCGCAGUGAAGAGGCUCAAGCAACUGUUUAACAAAAACACAGGUCUAUGCUAAGCUGGAAGGCGAUGUAUAUGGGCUGACACCUGCCCAGUGCUGGAAGGUUAAGAGGAGGAGUGAGAGCUCCGAAUUGAAGCCCCAGUGAACGGCGGCCGUAACUAUAACGGUCCUAAGGUAGCGAAAUUCCUUGUCGGGUAAGUUCCGACCUGCACGAAUGGUGUAAUGAUUUGAGCGCUGUCUUGACGGGAGGCCUGGUGAAAUUGUAUUACCGGUGAAGAUACCGGUUACCUACAGUAGGACGGAAAGACCCCAUGGAGCUUUACUGUAGCUUGGUAUUGGGUUUUGGCAUUGCAUGUAUAGGAUAGUUGGGAGACUGAGAUGAUAUGGCGCUAGCUGUAUCGGAGUCAUCGGUGGAAUACCAACCAUUCAAUGCUGAAAUUCUAAUCUGUGGUUUGUAGCCACGGAGACAGUGCUAGGUGGGCAGUUUGACUGGGGCGGUCGCCUCCGAAAGAGUAACGGAGGCGUUCAAAGGUUCUCUCAGGUUGGAUGGAAAUCAACCAUAGAGUGCAAUGGCAUAAGAGAGCUUGACUGCAAGACUGACGGGUCGAGCAGAUGCGAAAGCAGGACAUAGUGAUCCGGCGAUUCCGAAUGGAAGGGUCGUCGCUCAACGGAUAAAAGCUACCCUGGGGAUAACAGGCUGAUCCUACCCGAGAGUCCAUAUCGACGGUAGGGUUUGGCACCUCGAUGUCGGCUCAUCGCAUCCUGGGGCUGGAGAAGGUCCCAAGGGUUGGGCUGUUCGCCCAUUAAAGCGGUACGUGAGCUGGGUUCAGAACGUCGUGAGACAGUUCGGUCCCUAUCCACUGUAGGCGUUAGAAUAUUGAGAAGACCUGUCCUUAGUACGAGAGGACCGGGAUGGACAAACCUCUGAUGUACCAGUUGUCACGCCAGUGGCACAGCUGGGUAGUCACGUUUGGAAUAGAUAACCGCUGAAAGCAUCUAAGCGGGAAACUAACUUCAAGAUAAGUAUUCUUUAAGAUACCUUCGAGCCUAGGAGGUUGAUAGGUUGGGGGUGUAAGUACAGCAAUGUAUUUAGCUGACCAAUACUAAUUAUCGAAGUUUUAAUCUA